rnacentral:rRNA from 1 species
GGCCUACCAUGGUGGUAACGGGUAACGGGGUGUUAGGGCACGACACCGGAGAGGGAGCCUGAGAAACGGCUACCACAUCCAAGGAUGGCAGCAGGCGCGCAAAUUACCCAAUCCCGACACGGGGAGGUAGUGACAAUAAAUAACAAUACGGGGUUCUUUUGGAUUUCGUAAUUGGAAUGAGUACAAUUUAAAUCUCUUAACGAGGAACAAUUGGAGGGCAAGUCUGGUGCCAGCAGCCGCGGUAAUUCCAGCUCCAAUAGCGUAUAUUAAAGUUGUUGCAGUUAAAAAGCUCGUAGUUGAAUUUCGGGGUCAGCAGGUUGGUCGUGCCACUGGUAUGAACUGGCCUUGCUGAUUCCUCCUUCUUGAAGAACCGUGAUGCCAUUAAUUUGUUGUUGCGGGGAAACAGGACUGUUACUUUGAAAAAAUUAGAGUGUUUAAAGCAGGCUAACGCCUGAAUACAUUAGCAUGGAAUAAUAAAAUAGGACGUUUGAUCCUAUUUUGUUGGUUUCUAGGGUUGACGUAAUGAUUAAUAGGGAUAGUUGGGGGCAUUAGUAUUCAAUUGUCAGAGGUGAAAUUCUUGGAUUUAUUGAAGACUAACUACUGCGAAAGCAUUUGCCAAGGAUGUUUUCAUUAAUCAAGAACGAAAGUUAGGGGAUCGAAGACGAUCAGAUACCGUCGUAGUCUUAACCAUAAACUAUGCCGACUAGGGAUCGGAUGAUGUUAAUUUUAUAAUGACUCAUUCGGCACCUUACG